AUACUUCUAAGUUGGGUAUAUAUAUAUAUAUAUAUAUAUGAAUAUAUAUAUAUGUAUCUUUCCUUCCCGUUGGUAUUUUCCCCCUGCUUAAUUUUUUGUUAAAAGGUUGAACCUCUUCCCUGGGUCUCCACUACACUCUGAAGCAUUGCCAUCGGUCCCUUUUACACACCAGAAACGUGUUUGUUCUCCUCGUCCUCCAGGAAACGGGUCCUUUUAUCUCAAUCUCAGCAGUGGGCUGGGGAGCUGGAGGGAAGGGAAGGGGUGAAAUCAAGAACUGGUCUACUUCAUAUUUUCACAGAUUAUUAUUAAUUUUUCUAAGCCAUCUGAGAAUCUUGCUAGGGUUUUCUCUUCUCCGGGGAAAAACAAAAAAGGCAAGAAAAAAAGGGGAAGGAAGGGCAAAAAUAACAAGAAGCCCCCAAGCCCCCAAAAACACGCACCCCAGAGUCUUCCUGGCUCAGAGCGGCCGGGGGCACUGCACCAUCUCCUCCUUUCUAGUCCGGAGCACGGCGCAUUUUCCACAGGGGCUUGUACGGCGUGACCGGUUAACCCGGGAAAGGGCCGGGGGCCGCUCCCCACCGCCUCCUCCGCGCUCCCUGCCAGCAGCACUCACACCUCGCGGUCCUGCUCGGCGCUGUGCCGGGGUGUGCCUUGGGGCCAAAACCAGUAAUUUUAAACGAAUAACAAGAAUAACAGAAUAUUGCCCCUCCGCGCCGAGGAGCCGGCUGCGCCCCUCACGCCGUGCUGGGCAUAUCCCGCGCCGCCUCCGUCGCGGGCGGGCGGCCGCCGCGGGGGUGACAUUCAGGUUCCCGUCGUCGGAAGGAAGAGCCCCCCGUCAGGCUGCAGCGGCAUCCCGCCGGCGGGGCGCGGGGCAGGGGCGGGCCAGGCCGCAGGGAGACCCCCUCAGCGGCCGGGCCGAGUGCCGAGGGCGGCUCUCAGAGAAGCGAGGCACACAGCCCGGAGGGUUUCCCAGUGCCGCGGGAUGAACCGGCGCGGCUGCCGGAGGCAUCAAAGAGCCUCCAUGUUGGGGGGGAUUUCUUUUUUCUUUUAUGCUUUUGGUUUUUGGUCAGAGAAAUGGUGCGAAAGGACGAAGAGAAAAAAUACCAAGAAUUGAAAAACAGGAGGAAAAAUUAAAAGGAGCGAUAAGUAGAAGGAAAACGAUCCUAGCGUCCCAUNNNNNNNNNNNNNNNNNNNNAGCGUCCCAUCCCGGCGGAAAGGGCUGCAGCGGCGAGAGCUCUAGUUCCCAGGGCCGUGGUGUGUGCAUCCCUUGCGGCAGGGAAACGCCUCUCUCCUCGCAACCGCCGUCCCUCGCUCUCCG
rnacentral:lncRNA from 14 species